GCCGGUCUAGCUCAGUUGGUAGAGCAACGGUUUUGUAAACCGUGGGUCGGGGGUUCGAGUCCCUCGACCGGCACCA
rnacentral:tRNA from 1 species